rnacentral:rRNA from 1 species
UACGGGGGGGGCAAGCGUUGUUCGGAAUUACUGGGCGUAAAGGGCGCGUAGGCGGCCCUGUAAGUCUUGGGUGAAAGCCCUCGGCUCAACCGAGGAAUUGCCUUGGAUACUGCAGGGCUCGAGGCUGGAAGAGGGCAGUGGAAUUCCCGGUGUAGCGGUGAAAUGCGUAGAUAUCUGGAGGAACACCGGUGGCGAAGGCGGCAUCCUGGACCAACACUGACGCUGAUGAGCGAAAGCCAGGGGAGCAAACGGG